rnacentral:rRNA from 1 species
UGGUGGAUGAGUGGCGAACGGGUGAGUAACACGUGAGUAACCUGCCCCUGAUUUCGGGAUAAGCCUGGGAAACUGGGUCUAAUACCGGAUACGACCUCCUGACGCAUGUUGGGUGGUGGAAAGUUUUUCGAUCGGGGAUGGGCUCGCGGCCUAUCAGCUUGUUGGUGGGGUAAUGGCCUACCAAGGCGACGACGGGUAGCCGGCCUGAGAGGGCGACCGGCCACACUGGGACUGAGACACGGCCCAGACUCCUACGGGAGGCAGCAGUGGGGAAUAUUGCACAAUGGGGGAAACCCUGAUGCAGCGACGCAGCGUGCGGGAUGACGGCCUUCGGGUUGUAAACCGCUUUCAGCAGGGAAGAAGCGAAAGUGACGGUACCUGCAGAAGAAGUACCGGCUAACUACGUGCCAGCAGCCGCGGUAAUACGUAGGGUACGAGCGUUGUCCGGAAUUAUUGGGCGUAAAGAGCUCGUAGGUGGUUGGUCACGUCUGCUGUGGAAACGCAACGCUUAACGUUGCGCGUGCAGUGGGUACGGGCUGACUAGAGUGCAGUAGGGGAGUCUGGAAUUCCUGGUGUAGCGGUGAAAUGCGCAGAUAUCAGGAGGAACACCGGUGGCGAAG